GGAGCGGUGGCAGAGCGGACGAAUGCAGUCGCCUUGAAAGCGACCGGCCCGUGAGGGCCCGGGGGUUCGAAUCCCCCCCGCUCCG
rnacentral:tRNA from 1 species